rnacentral:misc_RNA from 1 species
AAGUCGUAACAAGGUUUCCGUAGGUGAACCUGCGGAAGGAUCAUUAUUGAAAAACUUUGUAGGUUGUAGUUGAGCUGGCCUCUUGAGGCAUGUGCUUGCUAUUGGCCUUCAAAAAUCUUCAUCCCACCUGUGCACAUUUUGUAGGAAGGAAAAGAUUCCAAGUAAAGGAACUUAUGGCCUGGUUAGCUCUGGGCCUGUUGCUUGAAGGGGUUUUUUUCAUCCUAUGUUUUUAUACACACAAUUGAAUGUUUAGAAUGUCUUUCUUUUGAAGAGUGUAACAACUCUUUUAAAAACAUAAUACAACUUUCAGCAACGGAUCUCUUGGCUCUC